UACGUAGGGUGCAAGCGUUGUCCGGACUUAUUGGGCGUAACGAGCUCGUAGGCGGUCUGUCGCGUCUGCUGUGAAAACCUGGGGCUUAACCCCGGGCCUGCAGUGGGUACGGGCAGACUAGAGUGCGGUAGGGGAGACUGGAAUUCCUGGUGUAGCGGUGAAAUGCGCAGAUAUCAGGAGGAACACCGGUGGCGAAGGCGGGUCUCUGGGCAACAACUGACGCUGAGGAGCGAAAGCGUGGGGAGCGAACAGG
rnacentral:rRNA from 1 species